UUCGUAGGGGGCUAGCGUUGUCCGGAAUCAUUGGGCGUAAAGGGUGCGUAGGUGGCUAUGUAAGUCAGGGGUGAAAGUUUGCGGCUCAACCGUAAAAUUGCUUUUGAUACUGCAUGGCUGGAAUUAGGAUGAGGUCAGCGGAAUGUGGCAUGUAGCGGUGAAAUGCAUAGAUAUGCCAUAGAACACCAAUUGCGAAGGCAGCUGGCUAGACCUGGAUUGACGCUGAGGCACGAAAGCUUGGGGAGCGAACAGG
rnacentral:rRNA from 1 species